UGGCUCAGGACGAACGCUGGCGGCGCGUCUUAAGCAUGCAAGUCGAACGGCAAGAGGUAGCAAUACCUCCUAGAGUGGCGGACUGGUGAGUAACACGUGGGUGACAUACCCUUCAGAUGGGGAUAGCUAUUAGAAAUAGUAGAUAAUACCGAAUACGAGCACAGGGGUUAGAGAUCUGUGAGGAAAGGAGCUAAGGCUCCGCUGAAGGAAUGGCCUGCGGCCCAUUAGCUAGUUGGUGAGGUAAGAGCCCACCAAGGCGAUGAUGGGUAUCCGGCCUUAGAGGGUGAACGGACACAUUGGGACUGAGAUACGGCCCAGACUCCUACGGGAGGCAGCAGCUAAGAAUAUUCCGCAAUGGACGAAAGUCUGACGGAGCGACGCCGCGUGGAUGAAGAAGGCCGGAAGGUUGUAAAAUCCUUUUGAAACUGAAGAAUAAGCGUUGUAGGGAAUGACAGCGUGGUGACAGUAGGUUUUGAAUAAGCAACGGCUAAUUACGUGCCAGCAGCGGC
rnacentral:rRNA from 1 species